rnacentral:rRNA from 1 species
UGAGGAAUAUUGGUCAAUGGGCGGAAGCCUGAACCAGCCAAGUCGCGUGAGGGAAGACGGUCCUAUGGAUUGUAAACCUCUUUUGUCGGGGAGCAAAGCUGCUCACGUGUGAGCGGAAGGAGAGUACCCGAAGAAAAAGCAUCGGCUAACUCCGUGCC